rnacentral:rRNA from 1 species
GGGGGGAUAUUGCACAAUGGGCGCAAGCCUGAUGCAGCGACGCCGCGUGGGGGAUGAAGGCCUUCGGGUUGUAAACUUCUUUUGCUCUGAACAAGGCGCACUUUGGGGUGUGUUGAGCGUAGGGGUUGAUUAGCGCCGGCUAACUACGUGCCAGCAGCCGCGGUAAUACGUAGGGCGCGCGCGUUGUCCGGAAUUAUUGGGCGUAAAGGGAUUGUCGGUGGCUGGUUGCGUCUGUCGUGAAAGCUCAUGGCUUAACUGUGGGUUUGCGGUGGGGACGGGCUGGCUUGAGUGCAGUAGGGGAGGCUGGAAGUCCAGGUGUAGCGGUGGAAGGCGCAGAUAUCAUGAGGAAUACCGGUGGCGAAGGCGGGUCUCUGGGCUGUUACUGACACUGAGGAGCGAAAGCAUGGGGAGCGAACAGG